rnacentral:rRNA from 1 species
GGGUAAAGGCCUACCAAGACGAUGAUGCGUAGCCGGACUGAGAGGUCUACCGGCCACAUUGGGACUGAGAACGGCCCAAACUCCUACGGGAGGCAGCAGUAGGGAAUUUUCGGCAAUGGGGGAAACCCUGACCGAGCAACGCCGCGUGAACGAAGAAGUUCUUCGGAAUGUAAAGUUCUUUUAUCUGGGAAGAAAAAUAACCAAAUUGACGGUACCAGAUGAAUAAGCCCCGGCUAACUAUGUGCCAGCAGCCGCGGUAAUACAUAGGGGGCAAGCGUUAUCCGGAUUUACUGGGCGUAAAGGGUGCGUAGGUUGUUAAUUAAGUUUCUGGUAUAAGUGCAGUGCUCAACGCUGUGAUGCUAGAAAAACUGGUUAGCUAGAGUAAGACAGAGGUAAGUGGAAUUCCAUGUGUAGCGGUAAAAUGCGUAAAUAUAUGGAGGAACACCAGUGGCGAAGGCGGCUUACUGGGUCUUUACUGACGCUGAUGCACGAAAGCGUGGGGAGCAAACAGGAUUAGAUACCCUGGUAGUCCACGCCGUAAACGAUGAGUACUAAGUGUUGGCCCUAAGGGUCAGUGCUGCAGCUAACGCAUUAAGUACUCCGCCUGAGUAGUACGUACGCAAGUAUGAAACUCAAAGGAAUUGACGGGACCCCGCACAAGCGGUGGAUCAUGUUCUUUAAUUCGUCGAUACGCGAAAAACCUUACCAGGUCUUGACAUACUCUGCAAUGGCUUAGAAAUAAGUUCGGAGGUUAACAGAUGUACAGGUGGUGCACGGUUGUCGUCAGCUCGUGUCGUGAGAUGUUGGGUUAAGUCCCGCAACGAGCGCAACCCUUAUUGC